rnacentral:rRNA from 1 species
CAAUAAGCGGAGGAAAAGAAACCAACAGGGAUUGCCCCAGUAACGGCGAGUGAAGCGGCAACAGCUCAAAUUUGAAAUCUGGCCCCUUGGGGCCCGAGUUGUAAUUUGCAGAGGAUACUUUUGGCGAGGCGCCUUCCGAGUUCCCUGGAACGGGACGCCAUAGAGGGUGAGAGCCCCGUCUGGUUGGAUGCCGAGCCUCUGUAAAGUUCCUUCGACGAGUCGAGUAGUUUGGGAAUGCUGCUCUAAAUGGGAGGUAUAUGUCUUCUAAAGCUAAAUAUAGGCCAGAGACCGAUAGCGCACAAGUAGAGUGAUCGAAAGAUGAAAAGCACUUUGGAAAGAGGGUUAAAAAGCACGUGAAAUUGUUGAAAGGGAAGCGCUUGUGACCAGACGUGGGCCUGUCGGAUCAUCCAGCGUUCUCGCUGGUGCACUCCGGCGGGCUCAGGCCAGCAUCAGCUCGUCCCGGGGGACAAAGGCAGCGGGAAUGUGGCUCCUUCGGGAGUGUUAUAGCCCGCUGUGUAAUGCCCUGGGGCGGGCUGAGGUUCGCGCAUCUGCAUGGAUGCUGGCAUAAUGGUUAUCAGCGACCCGUCUUGAAACACGGACCAAGGAGUCGUCUUCGUAUGCGAGUGUUCGGGUGUAAAACCCCUACGCGUAAUGAAAGUGAACGCAGGUGAGAGCUUCGGCGCAUCAUCGACCGAUCCUGAUGUUCUCGGAUGGAUUUGAGUAAGAGCAUACGGGGCCGGACCCGAAAGAAGGUGAACUAUGCCUGUGUAGGGUGAAGCCAGAGGAAACUCUGGUGGAGGCUCGCAGCGGUUCUGACGUGCAAAUCGAUCGUCAAACAUGGGCAUGGGGGCGAAAGACUAAUCGAACCUUCUAGUAGCUGGUUUCCGCCGAAGUUUCCCUCAGGAUAGCAGUGUUGAUCUCAGUUUUAUGAGGUAAAGCGAAUGAUUAGGGACUCGGGGG